CAGUCGCCGCGGUAAUACGAAGGUCCCGAGCGUUGUUCGGAAUCACUGGGCGUAAAGGGAGCGUAGGCGGCGUGGUAGGUCAGAUGUGAAAUCCCGGGGCUCAACCCCGGAACUGCAUCCGAUACUGCCGUGCUAGAGGAUUGGAGAGGUAGCUGGAAUUCUUGGUGUAGCAGUGAAAUGCGUGGAGAUCAAGAGGAACACUCGUGGCGAAAGCGAGCUACUGGACAAUAUCUGACGCUGAGGCUCGAAGGCCAGGGUAGCGAAAGGGAUUAGAUACCCCUGUAGUCCCUGUCACUUAUAC
rnacentral:rRNA from 1 species